rnacentral:rRNA from 1 species
CAGUAGCCGCGGUAAUACAGAGGGUGCGAGCGUUAAUCGGAAUUACUGGGCGUAAAGUGCGCGUAGACGGUUUUGUAAGUCAGAUGUGAAAUCCCUGGGCUCAACCUGGGAACUGCAUUUGAUACUGCAUGGCUAGAGUAUCGAAGAGGGAAGUGGAAUUUCCGGUGUAGCGGUGAAAUGCGUAGAUAUCGGAAGGAACACCAGUGGCGAAAGCGACUUCCUGGUCGAAUACUGACGUUCAUGUGCGAAAGCGUGGGGAGCAAACAGGAUUAGAUACCCCAGUAGUCCCUGUCUCUUAUAC